rnacentral:lncRNA from 1 species
UUUUUUACAAGGUGUCCUAUUCUAGACUAAUCCUUGGGUCUGUGAUCCGGCCCCUCUUCACACAGUCCGAUUAAUCGCAGGAUGUGCCUCCAACUGGCCAGGGUCCGAGCGCUCCCCACCUGGUCUGACAAAGUGCCAAGCAAGCCAAUCCAAGUUGCACCUUGCCUUCCAAGAAUAAUCCUUGCCUUCCAAGUUCCCACUUGCCUUCCAAGAA